rnacentral:rRNA from 1 species
UCGAGAAUCUUCCGCAAUGGGCGAAAGCCUGACGGAGCGACGCCGCGUGGUGGAUGAAGGCCCUCGGGUUGUAAACACCUGUCGUAGGGGAGGAAAUUUUGACCGAUCCUAGGAGGAAGCACAGGCUAAGUUCGUGCCAGCAGCCGCGGUAAUACGAACUGUGCAAACGUUAUUCGGAAUCACUGGGCUUAAAGGGUGCGUAGGCGGGUUGUCAGGUCAGAUGUGAAAGCCCACGGCUCAACCGUGGAAUUGCGUUUGAAACCGGCAGUCUUGAGGGGAUCAGAGGAGAGCGGAACUGAUGGUGGAGCGGUGAAAUGCGUUGAUAUCAUCAGGAACACCGGUGGCGAAAGCGGCUCUCUGGGAUCUUUCUGACGCUGAGGCACGAAAGCUAGGGGAGCGAACGGGAUUAGAUACCCCCGUAGUCC